GCCUUGUGGUUCCUGGAGUCAGCUAAGUGCUGAGCUGUGGGUUUUAUAAACAGGCGCACAUUUUCUAUGAUUUUAUGCAUGGAUUCUGCCCUUAUUGCGGCCUUCCAUAGCCCGGUUGCAGAUACAGUC